rnacentral:rRNA from 1 species
UUGAUCCUACGGGAGGCAGCAGUGAGGAAUAUUGGUCAAUGGCCGCAGGGCUGAACCAGCCAAGUCGCGUGAGGGAUGACGGUCCUAUGGAUUGUAAACCUCUUUUGUCAGGGAGCAAAGGGCGCCACGUGUGGCGCUUUGCGAGUACCUGAAGAAAAAGCAUCGGCUAACUCCGUGCCAGCAGCCGCGGUAAUACGGAGGAUGCGAGCGUUAUCCGGAUUUAUUGGGUUUAAAGGGUGCGCAGGCGGCGUGUCAAGCAAGCGGUAAAAUAGCGGGGCUCAACCCCGUCGAGCCGUUUGAACUGG